rnacentral:rRNA from 1 species
AUUGAACGCUGGCGGCAGGCCUAACACAUGCGAGUCGAGCGGAUGAAGGGAGCUUGCUCCUGGAUUCAGCGGCGGACGGGUGAGUAAUGCCUAGGAAUCUGCCUGGUAGUGGGGGAUAUCGUCCGGAAACGGGCGCUAAUACCGCAUACGUCCUGAGGGAGAAAGUGGGGGAUCUUCGGACCUCACGCUAUCAGAUGAGCCUAGGUCGGAUUAGCUAGUUGGUGGGGUAAAGGCCUACCAAGGCGACGAUCCGUACUGGUCUGAGAGGAUGAUCAGUCACACUGGAACUGAGACACGGUCCAGACUCCUACGGGAGGCAGCAGUGGGGAAUAUUGGACAAUGGGCGAAAGCCUGAUCCAGCCAUGCCGCGUGUGUGAAGAAGGUCUUCGGAUUGUAAAGCACUUUAAGUUGGGAGGAAGGGCAGUAAGUUAAUACCUUGCUGUUUUGACGUUACCAACAGAAUAAGCACCGGCUAACUUCGUG